rnacentral:tRNA from 3 species
GCCCAGGUAGCUCAGUCGGUAGAGCAGUGGAUUGAAAAUCCUCGUGUCGGUGGUUCGAUUCCGCCCCUGGGCACCA